UACGUAGGGUGCGAGCGUUGUCCGGAAUUAUUGGGCGUAAAGAGCUUGUAGGCGGUCUGUCGCGUCUGCUGUGAAAAUCCGGGGCUCAACCCCGGACUUGCAGUGGGUACGGGCAGACUAGAGUGUGGUAGGGGAGACUGGAAUUCCUGGUGUAGCGGUGAAAUGCGCAGAUAUCAGGAGGAACACCGAUGGCGAAGGCGGCAUCCUGGACCGGCAUUGACGCUGAGGAGCGAAAGCUAGGGGAGCAAACGGG
rnacentral:rRNA from 1 species